rnacentral:rRNA from 1 species
ACUGGUUUGGUAGCCGGGUCUUAAAAACCCUCGAGGUUUGGUUAACAAGAAUCUUUCUUGUUCUCCAUCACCUACAACUCGGGCGAGUGCACGCAGAGGCGUGUGCUAGUUGGUGAGCAAUCAACGACAUUACCAAAUUGCGGGGAAGACCUAAAGCUCAACACAUGAACCAAAACUCGAAAGGGUUAGAGGCGAUCAACAAAGAGAUCGGCAAAGUGUUUUGAGAUGUUACAAUGGUCAAUCCGCAGCCAAGUCCUGACCAAAAAAGGAUGCAGUUCACAGACUAAAUGGUAAUGGGGCAAUGUGAAUUUCCAUUGUCUUAAGAUAUAGUCGGCCCCUGGACUUGGAGAAAUCCCAGGGAUCAAGCGGAGAAACGGCUACCACGUCUACGGGCGGCAGCAGGCGCGUAAAUUACCCAAUCCUGACACAGGGAGGUAGUGACAAUAAAUAACAAUACCCGCCCCGAACAGGGGAGAGUAAUUGGAAUGAGUACGAAUUAAAACUACUAACGAGUAGCAAUUAGAGGGCAAGUCUGGUGCCAGCAGCCGCGGUAAUUCCAGCUCUAAUAGCGUAUUUUAAAGUUGUUGCAGUUAAAACGCUCGUAGUUGGAUUUUAGGGCUUGGUGUGUUUGGUCCGCGUCAAGUGAGUACUAGCAUGCCGGCUCUCCUUAUGAGAUACUCCCUGUUGCUCUUAACUGGGUGGCAGGAGCAGGCGUCGGGUCGGGCAACUGGCUCGGCGUCCGGGUUCUCAUUCGUUUACUUUGAAUAAAUUAGAGUGUUCAAAGCAGGCACAUAACGCCUUGAAUAAUCUAGCAUGGGAUAAUGGAAUAGGCUGUCGGCUUAUUUCGUUGGUUUCUAAGCCAGACAGAAUGAUUAAGAGGGACAGUUGGGGGUUUUCGUAUUCAAUUGUCAGAGGUGAAAUUCUUGGAUUUGUUGAAGACGAACUACUGCGAAAGCAUCAACCAAGGAUGUUUUCAUUAAUCAAGAACGAAAGUUAGGGGAUCGAAGACGAUCAGAUACCGUCGUAGUCUUAACCAUAAACGAUGCCGACCAGCAAUUCGGAGACGUUACAUUUAUGACUCCCCGAGCAGCUUGAGAGAAAUCAGAGUGUUUGGGUUCUGGGGGGAGUAUGAUCGCAAGGGGGAAACUUAAAGGAAUUGACGGAAGGGCACCACAAGGAGUGGAGCCUGCGGCUUAAUUUGACUCAACACGGGGAAGCUUACCAGGUCCAGACAAAGUAAGGAUUGACAGAUUGAGCGCUCUUUCUUGAUUCUUUGGGUGGUGGUGCAUGGCCGUUCUUAGUUGGUGGAGUGAUUUGUCUGGUUAAUUCCGAUAACGAACGAGACCUUAACCUGCUAAAUAGUCACUGGAAGCUGCUGCAAAAGCAUCGUUGUCGUGUAGCGUGAAGGUUCGCUGGAGCGUGAAGCGGCGGCGGUGUGGUUGCUUCCGAGGAUGCACUUCUUAGAGGGACUUUCAGCUCUGAAGCUGAAGGAAGUUUGAGGCAAUAACAGGUCUGUGAUGCCCUUAGAUGUUCUGGGCCGCACGCGCGCUACAAUGAUUAGUUCAACAAGUAUAACACCUUGCCCGGAAGGGUUGGGUAACCUUGCGAAAACUAAUCGUGCUGAGGUUAGAUCAUUGUAAUUAUUGAUCUCUAAUCAGGAAUUCCUAGUAAGCGCGAGUUAUCAGCUCGCGUUGAUUACGUCCCCGCCCUUUGUACACACCGCCCGUCGCUACUACUGAUUGGAUGAUCCGGCCAGUUGUUCGGAGCUGGGGCAACGCUAUGGGGGCAACUCUGUAGUAAGUUCCGGCAAAGUUCCACCAGCCUUACCAUCUAGAAGAAGUAAAAGUCGUAACAAGGUAUCCGUAGGUGAACCUGCGGAUG